GACGAACGCUGGCGGCGUGCUUAACACAUGCAAGUCGAACGGUGAAGCGCCUUCCUUUUUGGUGGGUGUGGAUGAGUGGCGAACGGUUGAGUAACACUUGAGUAACCUGCCCUCUUCUUCUGGUUAACCGCAUGAAAGUGUGUCUAAUACGGGAUAUUCUGGUUCUGUCUCAUGAUGGGUCUGGGUAAGAUAUUGUUUCGGUGGGGGAUGGGCUCGCGGCCUAUCAGCUUGUUGGUGGUGUGAUGGCCUACCAAGGCUGUGACGGGUAGCCGGCCUGGGAGGGUGGACGGUCAGAGUGGGACUGAGACACGGCUGGGACUCCGACGGGAGGCAGCAGUGGGGGGUAGGGAGCAGUGGGGGCAAGCCUGAUGCGGCGGCGCCGCGGGAGGGAUGGAGGCGCUCGGGUUGUGAACCCCUUUGGCCAGUAAAGCAGGCCUGCCUGGGAUGUGGGUGGGUUGACGGUAGCGGGUUAAGAAGCGCCGGCUAACUACGUG
rnacentral:rRNA from 1 species